UCCCAUGGCACUAUGCCUUUGCGCAACAUCUUCAAGAACUGCACCUACUACUGGGGCUUCGCCGCGUGGAUGGCCUAUUACAUCAAUCACCCUCUCUACACUCCCCCUAGUAAGUGGCCUCAGACCAUCCUUCCCUCCUCCACGGUCCCCACCCAGCGGGUCCUCCUCUCAUGGGCUCCCCUCCCUGCUUUCUCUUCAGCCUACGGAGCUCAGCAGGUGAAACUGGCGCUCGCCAUCUUUGUGGUAAGGAGGCUGGGUGUGGGGACGGGGUCAGGGGAGUCUGGGCGGCCCUAGGCUGAUCCUGCUUCUCUGACAGAUCUGUCAGCUCGGCAACUUCUCCAUCCACAUGGCCCUGCGGGACCUGCGGCCCGCUGGUGAGUGCCUGCUGGGGGCAAGGGGACAGCUGGGCUGGGUGAGGGGGUCUGACUUCCUCCUUCUGUCCUGCCUGCCAGGGUCCAAGACGCGGAAGAUCCCAUACCCCACCAAGAACCCCUUCACGUGGCUCUUCCUGCUGGUGUCCUGCCCCAACUACACCUACGAGGUGGGGUCCUGGAUCGGUUUCGCCAUCAUGACGCAGUGUCUCCCAGGUGAGCCUGCCGCCCUCCCUCGGCGGGGCCCUACCCCUCCGGGCCGGCAGCCCCUCCCUGACGCCCGUUCUUUCCUGCAGUGGCCCUGUUCUCCCUGGUGGGCUUCACCCAGAUGACUAUCUGGGCCAAGGGCAAGCACCGCAGCUACCUGAAGGAGUUCCGGGACUACCCGCCCCUGCGCAUGCCCAUCAUCCCCUUCCUGCUCUGAGCGCUCACCCCUGCUGAGGCUCAGCCCCUCACCCCGGUGGCAUUCUGGGG
rnacentral:sRNA from 1 species